GUUUAUAUAGUUUAAAAAAAAUUCUAGUUUGUGGUUCUAGAGAUAUAAUAAUAUUAUAAACA
rnacentral:tRNA from 1 species